UCCGGUUUUUCACCGGCAGUCCCACUAGAGUGCCCAGCUUGACCUGAUGGCAACUAAUGGCAGGGGUUGCGCUCGUUGUGGGACUUAACCCAACAUCUCACGACACGAGCUGACGACAGCCAUGCAGCACCUCGACUGGUGUCCCUUGCGGGAAAAAGGACUUUCAUCCCCUGUCACCAGCCGUUCGAGCCCAGGUAAGGUUCUUCGCGUUGCGUCGAAUUAAUCCACAUAAUCCACCGCUUGUGCGGGUCCCCGUCAAUUCCUUUGAGUUUUAACCUUGCGGCCGUACUCCCCAGGCGGUCGACUUCUCGCGUUAGCUUCGUUACUGAGAGUGUCAAACCCCCAACAACCAGUCGACAUCGUUUAGGGCGUGGACUAC
rnacentral:misc_RNA from 1 species